GCUCUCGUUGUCCAGUGGCCGAGGACACACGCCUCUCGGGGCGUGGACGCCGGUUCGAAUCCGGCCGAGGGCA
rnacentral:tRNA from 1 species